UUUUUUCUGGUGGGAUCCUGGGGGGUUCCCUGGGAAUUUUUGGGCCCCUGAGUGUCCCUUUUCCCGUUCCAGAGGCACAUGGAAGGGUUUGUGUCCGACUGCUACGACGGGAUCGCCGUGUUCCUCUGCAUCCACCUCGUGCUCCGGUUCCGGAAUAUCAUGGCCAAGAGGAACGUCCCGGCCAUGGACAGGUCGGGAAUUCCCAAAAUCCAGGGAAAACGCCCCAAAUCCAGGGGAAAAUGCCCCAGAUCCAGGGAAAAACAUCACAAAUCCAGGGAAAAAUGCCCCAAAUCCAGGGAAAAAUGCCCCAAAUCCAGGGGAAAACGCCCCAAAUCCACUGGGAACGCCCCAAACCAAGGGAAAAAUGCCCCAAAUCCAGGGGAAAAUGCCCAGAUCCAGGGGAAAAUGACCCCAAAUCCAUGGGAAAAUGCCCCAAAUCCAGGGGAAAACACCCCAAAUCCAGGGGAAAAUGCCCCAGAUCGAGGGAAAAAUGCCCCAAAUCCAGGGGAAAAUGCCCCAAAUCCAGGGAAAAACAGCCCAAAUCCAGGGGAAAAUGCCCUGAAUCCAGGGGAAAAUGCCCCAGAUCCAGGGAAAAACAGCCCAAAUCCAUGGGAAAAUGCCCUGAAUCCAGGGAAAAAUGCCCCAGAUCCAGGGAAAAACAGCCCAAAUCCAUGGCAAAAUGCCCCCAAUCCAGGGAAAAACACCCCAAUCUGGGGGAAAACGCCCUGAAUCCAGGGAAAAACACCCCAAAUUCAGGGAAAAAUGCCCCAAUCUGGGGGAAAAACAUCACAAAUCCAGGGAAAAACAGCCCAAAUCCAUGGGAAAAUGCCCUGAAUCCAGGGAAAAAUGCCCCAAAUCCAGGGGAAAAUGCCCCAGAUCGAGGGAAAAAUGCCCCAAAUCCAGGGAAAAAUACCACAAAUCCAGGGGAAAAUGCCCCAAAUCCAGGGAAAAAUGCCCCAAAUCCAGGGAAAAAUGCCCCAAAUCCAGGGGAAAAUGCCCCAAAUCCAGGGAAAAAUGCCCCAAAUCCAGGGGAAAAUGGCCCGAAUCCAGGGAAAAAUGCCCUGAAUCCAGGGAAAAACACCCUAAAUCCACUGGGAAUGCCCCAAAUUCAGGGAAAAAUACCCCAAAUCCACUGGGAAAAUGCCCCAAAUCCAGGGAAAAACAGCCCAAAUCCAUGGGAAAAUGUCCCGAAUCCAGGGAAAAAUGCCCCAAUCCAGGGAAAAACGCCCCAAUCUGGGGGAAAACG
rnacentral:lncRNA from 1 species